rnacentral:rRNA from 1 species
UACGGAGGGUGCAAGCGUUAUCCGGAUUCACUGGGUUUAAAGGGUGCGUAGGUGGGUAGGUAAGUCCGUGGUGAAAUCUCCAGCUUAACUUGGAAACUGCCGUGGAUACUAUCUAUCUUGAAGGACGUGGAGGUGAGCGGAAUAUGUCAUGUAGCGGUGAAAUGCUUAGAUAUGACAUAGAACACCAAUUGCGAAGGCAGCUGGCUACACGAAU